rnacentral:rRNA from 1 species
GACGAACGCUGGCGGCGUGCUUAACACAUGCAAGUCGUACGGUAAGGCCCUUUCGGGGGUACACGAGUGGCGCACGGGUGCGUAACACGUGAGUAACCUGCCCACAACUUUGGGAUAACGCUAGGAAACUGGUGCUAAUACUGGAUAUGUGCUCCUGCUGCAUGGUGGGGGUUGGAAAGCUCCGGCGGUUGUGGAUGGACUCGCGGCCUAUCAGCUUGUUGGUGGGGUAGUGGCCUACCAAGGCGGCGACGGGUAGCCGGCCUGAGAGGGUGACCGGCCACAUUGGGACUGAGAUACGGCCCAGACUCCUACGGGAGGCAGCGGUGGGGAAUAUUGCACAAUGGGCGCAAGCCUGAUGCAGCAACGCCGCGUGCGGGAUGACGGCCUUCGGGUUGUAAACCGCUUUCAGCAGGGACGAAGCUUUUUGUGACGGUACCUGCAGAAGAAGCACCGGCUAACUACGUG